CCUGCAUUCAUUCUGUGAGGCUGUGCACUGCUGGUAGGAUUUUUCUUUGCCUACCGCAGUGAUUUCUGGGAGCCCUGACCAAGCUGCUGCCCUUGUGCCCGGUGAAUGUGUGCUGGCCGUGUGAAAACAACAGUGCAAAACCAAAGUGGGCUUCCUAACUGCUGAGCUUGGAGAGCAAGCGGAGGUGCUGAAGACACUCGAUAAUAAGGACAUUCAGAUGACAGCUGCUAAGGCUAUCGGGGGCACUUCCGUCAGGCAGCACAGCACGCCCUGCUCAGCAUCUCCAGGACAAAUUCUCUCUCUCUGUUCUCCGCUCUCUGCUGUCCAUCUACUGAAAACAAACAAUGCUGUGAGCAAAAGGGCACCCUGACCUGCUGCCACGUUACCCCGGGGAAAACACUGCCUGCACCUCCAGGGUUAACUGUUGUCAUCUCUUUUUGUGUUCACACCAGUUAAAUUUAGGUGAAAUCUGUUCAAACCUAGGCUAAAGAUGGAGCAGGCUUCUCAUGUCAGAAGGCUACCACUGACAGAAUCAAGUACAACCAGAACUGAGAAAAAUUCCCUGCAGCAACCAGAAACAGCAAAUAAAUGGACAACGACCAUCCUGCAGGAGGACCCUGCAGGCACUGUGCACACCUCAGCGAGCAGAACUUGUGCGUGCAGCAAAGUGCCGCUGGGGUAAGCCCAGCCCUUCUGCCGUGUCCCCGCUGUGCCUCGGCACUGCCAGCAGGCAGAGGUGUUCCUGGGAGUACAUCUGCAAAGCCACAAACACUCUGUGCAGAACUGUUCGUAGUACGAUGGGCUCUGUAUACCUAACUCCACUCACCUCAACAAGCCCUGCCACAUACAAUGGGUUUUAAUAAACCGGUGAACAGAAAUUCUGUGAGAGGCAAAAUUACAGCUGUGCAAUUAUGCUAUCACUCUGGAAUCUCACCUGCCUCUCCCUCCUAGCGACUUCAACAGGCAU